UUGUGUGACAGAACUGCGUGUCUGAGCUGCACCAGACGUGAUCUCUGCUCAUCAAGUCUUCACUCCUCAAUUGACGACCGACACAUACUUCAACCACUGCAGAUUAACCAACCACUCAUCAGUAAAGCACAAAAUAAGAGAGUUUCCUACACUGAAGAUCUUCCUCAUUCAACCAACAACUGUGGGUGUUCAAGGCAUCCAAUCACACUUUGGCUAACUGAAAAAAGAAGACAAGAAAUACAAUGAAGACUUCCAUUUUCCUGCUGGUGGCGCUCUCUGUCAUUGUGCUCUGCAUGACUGACGGACGUGUUUGGAAAUUCCAAAACCAGCAUAUAAUCUCUGAAAUCCCACGAGGGGGAUGUGAUUUUCUGAUAGCAAACAGGAACAUCAGAGAUAAUAAUGGUAACUGUAAGCGCAAGAAUACCUUCAUCAUUAGUAACUUUAAUCAAGUUAGAACAGUUUGUGAUCCAAGGAAUCGUAUCGAUGUGAAUAGAAAUCUUUAUAAAAGCCCCAGGAACAUGCGCGUUCUGUAUUGUAAACUGCUGGGACAAACAACCAAUACACAUUGUAAAUACAAACAGAUACAGAUGAGAAAGCGUAUUGUAAUUGCAUGUGAUAAAAUCAGAGGAGGAUUCCUUCAGCCUGUACACUUUCAGGCUGUAGGACUGCUUACAGCAUCUCUUUUGAUUUGAGAGAUGCUGUAAGCUUGCUGCGAUCUUUAAACAUCACUUCAUGAUGCUGGUUUAGAUGCUUUAUAAGACUUUGUUAAGUUUCUUAAACAGUGAUGAAAAUAAUAAAGAGGAAAUAUGAGAGAACUGAUUUUGAAAUGAAUGUUGAAAAGAUACAACGGUCACUAAAAUUAUGGCAAAAUCGUUACACUUUGCUUUCUUAGCUUGCAUGUUGUACAUUUUGACAGUUGUUUCUAAUUGGCUACAUCUUCUCUUGUUCUCACAAUUAUUGCUCAUCUUUUAUUAAAUAA